rnacentral:rRNA from 1 species
GAGUGAUGAAGGCCUUCGGGUCGUAAAACUCUGUCCUCAAGGAAGAUAAUGACGGUACUGGAGGAGGAAGCCCCGGCUAACUACGUGCCAGCAGCCGCGGUAAUACGGAGGGGGCUAGCGUUAUCCGGAUUUACUGGGCGUAAAGGGUGCGGAGGCGGUCUUUCAAGUCAGGAGUGAAAGGCUACGUCUCCAACGGAGUAAG